rnacentral:rRNA from 1 species
AGCAGCCGCGGUAAUUCCAGCUCCAAUAGCGUAUAUUAAAGUUGUUGCAGUUAAAAAGCUCGUAGUUGAAUUUCGGGAUCAAUAUGUUGGUCGUGCCUUGGUACGUACUGGCAUUAUCGAUUCCUACCUUCUGAAGAACCUCGAUGUCAUUAAUUUGGUGUCUUGGGGAAUCAGGACUGUUACUUUGAAAAAAUUAGAGUGUUUAAAGCAGGCUCGCGCUUGAAUACAUUAGCAUGGAAUAAUGAAAUAGGACGCUUGAUUCUAUUUUGUUGGUUUCUAGGAUCGACGUAAUGAUUAAUAGGGAUAGUUGGGGGCAUUAGUAUUCAAUUGUCAGAGGUGAAAUUCUUGGAUUUAUUGAAGACUAACUACUGCGAAAGCAUUUGCCAAGGAUGUUUUCAUUAAUCAAGAACGAAAGUUAGGGGAUCGAAGACGAUCAGAUACCGUCGUAGUCUUAACCAUAAACUAUGCCGACUAGGGAUCGGAUGAUGUUAAUUUUUAAUGUA